rnacentral:rRNA from 1 species
UACGAAGGGGGCUAGCGUUGUUCGGAAUCACUGGGCGUAAAGGGCGCGUAGGCGGCUUGAUAAGUCGAGGGUGAAAGCCUGUGGCUCAACCACAGAAUUGCCUUCGAUACUGUCUGGCUUGAGACCGGAAGAGGUAAGUGGAACUGCGAGUGUAGAGGUGAAAUUCGUAGAUAUUCGCAAGAACACCAGUGGCGAAGGCGGCUUACUGGUCCGGUUCUGACGCUGAGGCGCGAAAGCGUGGGGAGCAAACAGG